AUGAGACUACAGAGCUGCAUGGCUCAGUGGUCAAAGGAGCAAUCCGCUGAAAGAUGGACUCGCGUCCGAUUAGAUAGUAGGCGGGGUAACGGCCCACCUAGUCGACGAUCGGUAGCCGGACUGAGAGGUUGACCGGCCACAUUGGGACUGAGACACGGCCCAGACUCCUACGGGAGGCAGCAUG
rnacentral:rRNA from 1 species